rnacentral:rRNA from 1 species
UACGUAGGGUCCGAGCGUUGUCCGGAAUUAUUGGGCGUAAAGAGCUCGUAGGCGGUUUGUCGCGUCUGCUGUGAAAUCCCGAGGCUCAACCUCGGGCCUGCAGUGGGUACGGGCAGACUGGAGUGCGGUAGGGGAGAAUGGAAUUCCUGGUGUAGCGGUGGAAUGCGCAGAUAUCAGGAGGAACACCCGCAGCGAAGGCGGCACUCUGGGCCGGUACUGACGCUGAGGAGCGAAAGCGUGGGGAGCAAACAGG